GAUGAACGCUGGCGGCGUGCUUAACACAUGCAAGUCGAACGAUGAAAGCGGGAGCUUGCUCCUGCUGGAUUAGUGGCGAACGGGUGAGUAACACGUGAGUAACCUGCCCUUGACUCUGGGAUAAGCGUUGGAAACGACGUCUAAUACCGGAUACGACCUUCGGAGGCAUCUCCUGGGGGUGGAAAGAAUUUCGGUCAAGGAUGGACUCGCGGCCUAUCAGCUAGUUGGUGAGGUAAUGGCUCACCAAGGCGACGACGGGUAGCCGGCCUGAGAGGGUGACCGGCCACACUGGGACUGAGACACUGCCCAGACACCUACGGGUGGCUGCAGUCGAGAAUAUUCGGCAAUGGACGAAAGUCUGACCGAGCGACGCCGCGUGCAGGAUGAAGGGUUUCGGCCUGUAAACUGCUUUUUUUAGGGACGAAUCUAUGACGGUACCUAAAGAAUAAGAGGUUGCUAACUCUGUGCCAGCAGCCGCGGUAAGAC
rnacentral:rRNA from 1 species